rnacentral:rRNA from 1 species
AUUGAACGCUGGCGGAAUGCUUUACACAUGCAAGUCGAACGGUAGAGGGGGCAACCCCUUGAGAGUGGCGAACGGGUGAGUAAUAUAUCGGAACGUGCCCAGUCGUGGGGAUAACGUAGCGAAAGUUACGCUAAUACCGCAUACGAUCUAAGGAUGAAAGCGGGGGAUCGCAAGACCUCGCGCGAUUGGAGCGGCCGAUAUCAGAUUAGGUAGUUGGUGAGGUAAAGGCUCACCAAGCCGACGAUCUGUAGCUGGUCUGAGAGGACGACCAGCCACACUGGGACUGAGACACGGCCCAGACUCCUACGGGAGGCAGCAGUGGGGAAUUUUGGACAAUGGGCGCAAGCCUGAUCCAGCAAUGCCGCGUGCAGGAUGAAGGCCUUCGGGUUGGUAACUAGCUUUGUUACGGUAACGGAAACGGUAGAGCUCUAAUACAGUUGUCUAAUGACGGUACCGUAACGAAUAAGACACCGGCGUAACUACGUAGCCAGCAGCCGCGGUAAG